GAUGAACGCUGGCGGCGUGCCUAAUACAUGCAAGUCGAGCGAACAGAUAAGGAGCUUGCUCCUUUGACGUUAGCGGCGGACGGGUGAGUUACACGUGGAUAACCUACCUAUAAGACUGGGAUAACUUCGGGAAACCGGAGCUAAUACCGGAUAACAUAUUGAACCGCAUGGUUCAAUAGUGAAAGGCGGCUUUGCUGUCACUUAUAGAUGGAUCCGCGCCGUAUUAGCUAGUUGGUAAGGUAACGGCUUACCAAGGCAACGAUACGUAGCCGACCUGAGAGGGUGAGCGGCCACACUGGAACUGAGACACGGUCCAGACUCCUACGGGAGGCAGCAGUAGGGAAUCUUCCGCAAUGGGCGAAAGCCUGACGGAGCAACGCCGCGUGAGUGAUGAAGGUCUUCGGAUCGUAAAACUCUGUUAUCAGGGAAGAACAAAUGUGUAAGUAACUGUGCACAUCUUGACGGUACCUGAUCAGAAAGCCACGGCUAACUACGUG
rnacentral:rRNA from 1 species